GAAGUAGAAGAGGAUGGAAAAAGAGCCAGUGGGAUGCCUGGUGACCAUUUCCUGGAGCCAGGACAGGAGGCAGAUGAGAGGGCAGGCUAGGCCACACAGGUGGCCCGGAUCUGGACCAGGUCAGCCUCACCCUCGAACAACAAGCCAGCGUAUCUUGUGCUUAUGCUCCAAGUUCUCUCAAGUCACUAACUGGCAGCUUUUGUUAAAGGGGGAAAAAAAGUGUAAAAGGUGACUCAACAGAAAAUGUGAAAUAAUUCUGCACCGUUCUAUUGUGGAUGCAAUGCCACGCACUCGCUGAGAAAAUACAAUAAAAUCUAAAUAUGAAAUCACUCUGGCUGAACUGCAAAGCGACUGUUAAUAGAAGAAUACCGUUCCGACAGACGGCUCCGAGCAUUAUUGUCUAAAGUUGGACACUGCCUCAGCCAACCCCCAGCCCCCAUUGUCUGUGUGAAAAUGGAAAUCUGUGCCACCAGUACAAUAUCCACAUUAUGUGCCCUGCCUCGACAUUGUUGCAUGACAUGCUUGAUUGUACCCUGGCAUAUAAGAGCAGAAAUGUAUAAACAUACCAUUAGCACAUAUUAAAUUUUGUC